UUGUAUAAUGGGUCAGCGACUUAUAUUCUGUAGCAAGGUUAACCGUAUAGGGGAGCCGGAGGGAAACCGAGUCUUAAUUGGGCGUUAAGUUGCAGGGUAUAGACCCGAAACCCGGUGAUCUAGCCAUGGGCAGGUUGAAGGUUGGGUAACACUAACUGGAGGACCGAACCGACUAAUGUUGAAAAAUUAGCGGAUGACCUGUGGCUGGGGGUGAAAGGCCAAUCAAACCGGGAGAUAGCUGGUUCUCCCCGAAAGCUAUUUAGGUAGCGCCUCGUGAAUUCAUCUCCGGGGGUAGAGCACUGUUUCGGCUAGGGGGCCAUCCCGGCUUACCAACCCGAUGCAAACUGCGAAUACCGGAGAAUGUUAUCACGGGAGACACACGGCGGGUGCUAACGUCCGUCGUGAAGAGGGAAACAACCCAGACCGCCAGCUAAGGUCCCAAAGUCAUGGUUAAGUGGGAAACGAUGUGGGAAGGCCCAGACAGCCAGGAUGUUGGCUUAGAAGCAGCCAUCAUUUAAAGAAAGCGUAAUAGCUCACUGGUCGAGUCGGCCUGCGCGGAAGAUGUAACGGGGCUAAACCAUGCACCGAAGCUGCGGCAGCGAACGUAUCACCCAAGACAACUUUACGGAGUUGACGAUUGACGGAGCGAAGCGACGUCAAAGCGUUCAUUAAAGUCGAGUUGGCUUAGGGAUACGUUCGUUGGGUAGGGGAGCGUUCUGUAAGCCUGUGAAGGUGGCCUGUGAGGG
rnacentral:rRNA from 1 species